AGUACGGCCACCAGGUAGACGGAGGCAGGGAUGGUGGCCAGCAGCUCCGGACCCAGCAUAGUUCCAGUCAUGAUGAAGAGCAUCAGCAGAGUGACCAGAAGAGACCACAGAGACACCUGGAGCAGAAAUACUGCCCUGCCCUCCCCUCCCUUCCCCUCCCGCAUCUCCCUAUCUCACUGUCGCCGCUGUGCCCUUCCCAGGCUGUUCUUAGAUAAGCUCAACUGAAAGGAGGAACCCAUUCGCGCAUGUGACGCCACCUCGCCCUGGACACUUCAGUCUCCUUUUAAUGGCCAGAGAUGUUGGACAUGAAGGCGACAUAAGCAACCCAUCACAACCAGUUAUAUUUCAGAAAUGACAGCAGAA